rnacentral:rRNA from 1 species
AGCAGCAGCCGCGGGAACACGUAGGUCCCGAGCGUUGUCCGGAUUUAUUGGGCGUAAAGCGAGCGCAGGCGGUUAGAUAAGUCUGAAGUUAAAGGCUGUGGCUUAACCAUAGUACGCUUUGGAAACUGUUUAACUUGAGUGCAAGAGGGGAGAGUGGAAUUCCAUGUGUAGCGGUGAAAUGCGUAGAUAUAUGGAGGAACACCGGUGGCGAAAGCGGCUCUCUGGCUUGUAACUGACGCUGAGGCUCGAAAGCGUGGGGAGCAAACAGGAUUAGAUACCCCCGUAGUCCCUGUCUCUUAUACA